UGCUCAUUUUGACAGCACAUACAUUAAAUUGGAAUGAUACAGAGAAGAUUAACAGAGCCCCUGAGCAAAGCUGACAUGUAAAUUCAGGAAGGAUCCCAUAUUUGU
ensembl:snRNA U6 U6 spliceosomal RNA